CCUACGGGAGGCUGCAGUGGGGGAUAUUGCACAAUGGGGGAAACCCUGAUGCAGCGACGCCGCGUGGGUGAAGAAGUAUUUCGGUAUGUAAAGCCCUAUCAGCAGGGAAGAAAGAAGACGGUACCUGACUAAGAAGCCCCGGCUAACUACGUGCCAGCAGCCGCGGUAAUACGUAGGGGGCGAGCGUUAUCCGGAUUCACUGGGUGUAAAGGGAGCGUAGACGGCCGUGCAAGCCAGGAGUGAAAGCCCGGGGCCCAACCCCGGGACUGCUCUUGGAACUGUGCGGCUGGAGUGCGGGAGGGGCAGGCGGAAUUCCUGGUGUAGCGGUGAAAUGCGUAGAUAUCAGGAGGAACACCGGCGGCGAAGGCGGCCUGCUGGACCGCGACUGACGUUGAGGCUCGAAAGCGUGGGGAGCGAACAGGAUUAGAUACCCGUGUAGUC
rnacentral:rRNA from 1 species